rnacentral:rRNA from 1 species
AGUGAGCGCUGGCGGUAGGCCUAACACAUGCAAGUCGAACGGCAGCACAGUAAGAGCUUGCUCUUACGGGUGGCGAGUGGCGGACGGGUGAGGAAUACAUCGGAAUCUACUUUUUCGUGGGGGAUAACGUAGGGAAACUUACGCUAAUACCGCAUACGACCUACGGGUGAAAGUAGGGGAUCUUCGGACCUUGCGCGAUUGAAUGAGCCGAUGUCGGAUUAGCUAGUUGGCGGGGUAAAGGCCCACCAAGGCGACGAUCCGUAGCUGGUCUGAGAGGAUGAUCAGCCACACUGGAACUGAGACACGGUCCAGACUCCUACGGGAGGCAGCAGUGGGGAAUAUUGGACAAAGGGCGCAAGCCUGAUCCAGCCAUACCGCGUGGGUGAAGAAGGCCUUCGGGUUGUAAAGCCCUUUUGUUGGGAAAGAAAAGCAGCAGGUUAAUACCCCGCUGUUCUGACGGUACCCAAAGAAUAAGCACCGGCUAACUUCGUG